CGGAAAGAGAAUUGAUUAGUUCAUCUCUCAAGUCUUUCGAGUCGUUCGUUCUUUUGUCACGUGAAAUGACAGCAUUGGAUAGAGAAAUCAGUUAAUUUACAACCUUCCUUACAAAUGCAUAGUAAUUAUUAUUAUUAUUAUUAUUACGUUAUAGUAUUAGAUAGACUUGUCAGAUAAGAGGUGAGGUGAGCUAAUCGUAGACUAAAGAUCCAGGAUCAUAUAAUCAUAUAAAUCAUAUUGAGCACCUGUGGGGCAUCCUCAAGAGGAAGGUGGAGAAGCGCCAUGUGCCUAACAUCCAGCAGCUCCGUGAUGUCAUUAUGGAGGAGUGGAAGAGGAUCCCAGCAACAAUCUGUGCAGCUCUGGUGAAUUCCAUGCCUAGGAGGAUUAAGGAAGUGCCCUGACCCGUCGAGGCAUGGACUCCACUAGAUCCCUGAAGGUGUGCUGUGGUAUCUGGCACAAAGACGUUAACAGCAGAUCCUUUAAGUCCUGUAAGUUGUGAGGUGGGGCCUCCAUGGAUCGGACUUGAUGGCCAGCACACCCUACAGAUGUUCGAUUGGAUUGAGAUCUGGGGAAUUUGGAGGCCAAGUCAACACCUUGAACUCUUUGUCAUGUUCCUCGAACCAUUCCUGAACAAUUUUUACAGUGUGGCAGGGAGCAUUAUCCUGCUGAAAGAAGUCACUUCCAUUAGGGAAUACCGUUGCCAUGAAGGGGUGUACUCAGUCUGCAACAAUGUUUAGGUAGGUGGUACGUGUCAAAAUAACAUCCACAUGAAUACCAGGACGCAAAGUUUCCCAGCAGAACAUUGCCCAGAGCAUCACACUGCCUCCACCUUCUUCCAUUGCUCCAUCGUCCAGUUCUGAUGCUCACCUGUCCAUUGUAGGCACUUUUGGCAGUGGACAGGGUCAGCAUGGGCUCUCUGACAGGUCUGUGGCUACACAGCCCCAUACACAGCAAGCUGCACUGCACUGUGUGUUCUGACACCUUUCUAU